GACGAACGCUGGCGGCGUGCUUAACACAUGCAAGUCGAACGAUGAUCCGGAUGCUUGCACCUGGGGAUUAGUGGCGAACGGGUGAGUAACACGUGAGUAACCUGCCCUGGACUCUGGGAUAACCCCGAGAAAUCGGAGCUAAUACCGGAUAGGACCUUUCCUCGCAUGAGGUGGGGUGGAAAGUUUUUUCGGUUUGGGAUGGACUCGCGGCCUAUCAGCUUGUUGGUGAGGUAAUGGCUCACCAAGGCUUCGACGGGUAGCCGGCCUGAGAGGGUGACCGGCCACACGGGGACUGAGACACGGCCCAGACUCCUACGGGAGGCAGCAGUGGGGAAUAUUGCACAAUGGGCGCAAGCCUGAUGCAGUAACGCCGCGUGCGGGAUGACGGCCUUCGGGUUGUAAACCGCUUUUAGUAGGGAAGAAGCCUCUUGGGGUGACGGUACCUGCAGAAAAAGGACCGGCUAACUACGUGCCAGCCGCCGCCGUAAAAC
rnacentral:rRNA from 1 species